rnacentral:rRNA from 1 species
UACGUAGGGUGCGAGCGUUGUCCGGAAUUAUUGGGCGUAAAGAGCUCGUAGGCGGUCUGUCGCGUCGGUCGUGAAAACUUGGGGCUUAACCCUGAGCUUGCGGUCGAUACGGGCAUGACUGGAGUUCGGCAGGGGAGACUGGAAUUCCGGGUGUAGCGGUGGAAUGCGUAGAGAUCCGGAAGAACACCGGUGGCGAAGGCGGUUAGCUGGGCAGUUGCUGACACUGAGGCGCGACAGCGUGGGGAGCAACAGG